rnacentral:rRNA from 1 species
GGGUGCGAUCAUACCAGCACUAAUGCACCGGAUCCCAUCAGAACUCCGCAGUUAAGCGUGCUUCGGCGAGAGUAGUACUAGGAUGGGUGACCUCCUGGGAAGUCCUCGUGUUGCACCCC